CGGAUAUAUCCAAGUGUGGUACCGCCACCGUGCCUGAUGGUGUAACGGCCACAAAUUGUUGCCCGCCAGUCACCACAAAGAUUAUAGAUUUCCAGCUACCUUCCUCAGAUUCCCCCAUGCGUACCAGGCCAGCUGCUCACUUGGUCAGCAAAGAGUACUUAGCCAAGUAUAAAAAGGCCAUUGAGCUGCAGAAAGCUCUUCCUGAUGAUGAUCCGCGUAGUUUCAAGCAACAGGCUAAUGUCCAUUGCACCUAUUGCCAAGGGGCUUAUGAUCAGGUUGGGUAUACCGACCUAGAACUCCAGGUUCAUGCUUCAUGGCUUUUCCUCCCUUUCCACCGUUACUAUCUCUACUUCAAUGAGAGAAUUCUUGCAAAGUUGAUCGACGAUCCCACCUUCGCUUUGCCCUAUUGGGCUUGGGAUAACCCUGAUGGCAUGUAUAUGCCGACCAUCUAUGCUAGUUCCCCAUCAUCAAUCUACGACGAGAAGCGCAACGCCAAGCACCUGCCUCCGACUGUGAUCGAUCUCGACUACGAUGGCACCGAACCCACAAUCCCUGAUGANNNNNNNNNNNNNNNNNNNNNNNNNNNNNNNNNNNNNNNNNNNNNNNNNNNNNNNNNNNNNNNNNNNNNNNNNNNNNNNNNNNNNNNNNNNNNNNNNNNNCAGCAGCAUCGGAGACUUCCCAAAAGCUCUAACUCAGUGAUAAGAGUAGAAGUUCCGAGGCCAAAGAAAUCAAGAAGCAAGAAGGAGAAAGAGGAUGAGGAAGAGGUGUUACUGAUAAAAGGAAUAGAGCUAGAUAGAGAGAAUUUCGUGAAGUUUGAUGUGUACAUCAACGACGAAGAUUAUUCAGUGAGUAGGCCUAAGAAUAGUGAGUUUGCAGGAAGCUUUGUGAACGUACCACACAAGCAUAUGAAAGAAAUGAAGACGAAGACCAAUCUGAGGUUCGCGAUAAAUGAGCUGUUAGAGGACUUGGGAGCCGAAGAUGAUGAGAGUGUGAUCGUGACUAUAGUCCCUCGUGCUGGGGGCGAUGAUGUCACCAUUGGUGGAAUUGAGAUCGAGUUUGUUUCCGAUUGAUCCCAUCUUUCAAUGAUUAUCCAUUAUAUGUAUGUAUCAGGUAAGUCACAUCUUUAUGUGACUAAUGGAAAAUGUGAGACUUCUCUGUACUCUCCCGUCAAGUCUUUUAUUAAUUUAGAGCUGUUUGGUUUAAAUUUAAGGGGUUUUUAAUUGGUGUUAGUUUCCUGUGCCUUUUAUUUACUUUAGAUUGAAGUGGAAAUUGAAGUUAAAUUUACUACUUUUAUAAGAUAAUAUGGGGGGUUAUAAAUAUUUUAUAAAAAAUCAAACAACUUUUUGUACAAUUUAAAAUAUUUUUUUUAUAAGAAAUAAUAUUUAUCUCAUUUUUAUGUUAUUUUUUUAAUUAUAAGUUCUUUAAACAAAAUUAAACAAAUAUAUUAGAUUUAGGAAAUAGUUUUUGAUUUCUUAAAGAGGAUCCAAGAAGUUGCUAAAUAUAUUAUGGGAUAUCCAAGAUCAUGGGCUUUUUUUCAAAUCAAUAAUUGGAAAUAUACGCCAUAUUUGAAUGGUAUUUUUCUUCUUCCUACUUUUCCUAAUUUCUUUUAUGCUAUUUACAUAGCAAAUGCCAAUUUAAAUGCCCUUCUUUUUUUAGAUUUAAUAUCCAAUAACUAUUUGUAAUACAUUUGAUGACUACUUGUUAUAUAAUUAUAUGAUAUAAAAAUAAUGCAAAAUAAUAGCCCUGAGGGGUAGCUCAAUUGGUCUGGUAUUGGGUUUGCUCCCCAAUGAUUACCAGUUUGAGUCCCCUCAAAACCAUUGGAGGUUUACCUAGUCGUUAACUUUAGGGCCCUGUGGGAUUAGUUGAGGUGCGUCUAACCUGGGUCGGACAUCCAAGAUUAUUAAAAUAAAAAAACAUACUUGUUACAACUAUUGGAUUGAGUCCCUACAAAUGAAACAUGAGGUAGUAAAGUUUUAUUUAUGAUAUUUUAUUUGUUACCCCUUUUUAUGUAUUGACAUUAAUUUAAUCAUUUAGCUUAUAUGACUUCCAUUGUACAUGAUUUAGGUGUAUUAAGAAUUAUACAAAAUAUAUAAUUUAUGAGUUCAUUGGAAUAUGAUAAGUUGUUCAUAAUCGGUUUAUAGAUUUGGAUAAUCUAGUAAAGACUGUAAUAUUAUCUCAUAAUUUGAGAAAUGACUUGUCUACCGCUAAGAUGAGAUUCUUAUGGUGAGUGCAUUAGCAUGAUAUUAUUGGACAUUUUUAAAGGAUAUAUUUUGAUUGAAAACAUUCAUAGCAUAAAUAUGAGUACUUGUAGACCCCAUAUGGGGCUCGGUUUUCAUGCAGCCUGUUUUGCCAAGUGUCACAAUUCCAUAAGGCCACAUGUUGAUUUCUAGUUGGUUGUUGGGAAUCAGAGUAGUGGAAUUGGAGGACCAAUGAGAGGUCGACACGUGGCAAGAAGAUUCCAAAGAAUCUGCAGAAGCCGUUAUGGAGGAGCGUCUCUGGCGGCUGGAGAGGAGGUUGCUUUUUGGACGUGUUUGUUGAGAGAUAUUUCAGGGAGAGGAGGAUAGUUUAGCUCGAGAGAGGUGGUGCUUUUUGCGAAGUUGCUUGGAGAUAUUUUGAGGGGAUCUCCUUGGGUGAGGGGGCAGGCUGGUGACUCAGGGACACUAGAGAGAGAAAAACAGGGGAAUCAGAGGAGAAAAGGGUGAGAGUUUGAGGGUGAGUUUCUAGCUUAGAGGAGAGGCUACCGGAGGAGAGAACAGGGAGCAGCAAACUGUGAGAGGUAGUGGUGCUAUUGGCUGCCGUUUAGAGGAACUUGAGAGAGAGCGAGACUUGAGAGAGAAAGAACCAGAGAGUUAGAGUUUUCCAGAGAGAACAGAGAGCUUGAAGGAGAAGAAGGUAAGGGUAUGACUGCCACUAAUCUUUUUGUUUUUUUUCGUUGGUAAAUAGUCUCUUUACCUCUUCUCGAUAUUUUCUACGGAUUGCUUGAUUUGUGUUUAGUUUUUAUGGUUCAUGUUUGGUUGAUAUCUCUUUCAUUUUCUUCGAGAUGAUUCGAGAGUGAUACGACUAUGUUUUUAGUUGGGAUGGAAAACUUGUUUUGCUUUUGUUUUCAAUUCCAUAGGAUAUUUAUUUGACUUCACUCACCCCCACCUAAGCCCAUUGAUUGAUGCAUGACAUGAGGCUUAGAUGUAUUCAUUUUGCUCCAAUUAUUUGUACUCUGUCUUGCCGUUUUCCCCUGUUACUGCCUCUGGUGCUGGUUCAGAUGCUAUAUGCAAUAGCAGUAUAGUAGGAGAAGAUGGUUUUGACGAGGGGUUUCCUGAGGUGGAGAAUUUCAUGCACAUCAUAGACUUGAAUGUUGGAAUUUUAUGUGUGGACUUACAUAAUUAAUUUGAUAAUAUCAUAAAUCAGUGUUAAUUUAUGUUUUUGCAUUGUGGUCCAUAAUGGGACUGGACACAAAUUGUUGCUUGAUUUUUUAUGGGCUCACCCUAAUUCACUUGACUGGCCCAUUAAGUCAAGUCGUCCAACUAAAGUGUGUAAUGUGCAAUAUAUAUAUAUAUAUAUAUAUAUAUAUAUAUAUAUGUAUUUAUUUGUAUAUAUAUAUAUAGAGGUGUGUGUGCUUUUGGAGGUGGACCACUCUCUCUUUUGUUCUCUUUGAAGAACACUCCCGGCCACACACGCACACACUCCACUUUGGACUGAAUUUUGGGGAUUAAAGGGAAGAGCUCAUUGAUCGCUCAUCCUCGGAGCAUCACGCACCCGGAAAGCAGAUUAUUGGAUAUCAAAGGAGAGAAGAAAUGGCUUCCCAAAGCACGAACCAAGGUAACGGAAGAAUUUUGCUAUUAAAUGCAUGCUUAAUUGUCAAUAUGUGAUCCUAUGCAAUUUAAAUUAUCAUCAAUUGGUAUCAGAGCUUGCAUGAUUGACAUUUGAGCUGCAAUUUUGGGUUAAUUUUUGGGUUUCCCGUUUCCUGUGGUGGAAGCCAUUUUUUUGGAUUUUUAAUUCUCGUUUGAUGUUUAUUCUCUGUUUUCAAGCCCGAUUGUUGUUGGAAACUUGUAGAGAAUAUUGUUUGGAGCAAAACCCAUCAUUUUAUUUGAUUUUUGGAGCUUGUUUGGUGGGAUUUCGAAAAUUAGGGUUUGUUUGGUUCUUGCUAUUAUGCGUUUUUUGUGCAAUUUUUGGGUUUGGAUUGAAUAAUUGAUGUUUUAGGAUGGAAAUCUAUGUAUUUUUGACGAAAAAUGCGUGAAAUUUUGGGCGGAAAAUUUUUUUUUUUCUUCUCCAGAACCAGGCCGUGCUCAGCUGGAUGAGAAGAUGAACAGUGACGUGAUGACGUCAUCAUGACGUCAUAAAAAAAAAACCAAUUUUUUUUUUUUUUUUUUGUUUGUUUGUUGCCUUGGUAUUCUUGGAUUGAUUGUGCAUAUGCUAGAAUUUUUUAUGCAUUUGUUAAAUUUGACUUUAUUGGGACAAUUAUUAUUAUUAUUGUCCUUUAUGGUAUAAUUUUUCCUUAUAUCAAUAAUGUUGUCCUAUGUCAAUUUUGUUAAAUAUUUCAAUUUAUUGAGGCAAUGAAGCACACUUGUGUAAUUGCCUAUCGCAAUUCCAAGUGUGUCAAAUUGUGAAAAUUGAAUAUUUUAUUUUAUUCAUGACAAUUGUGAACAUAUGUGUGAUUGCCUAUCGUGAUCCUAUAUGUGUCAAAUUGUCCUUGGUGAGAUAAUUUAACUCCCACAUUUAAUCGUUUUAUUAUUGUGAUUACUAAGAUCCAUACGGGUAUUGUAAUUGUCCUAUCGAUGAUAACAAUGCUUGGUAGGAUGCUUAGAUUGGUGAAGGAAAUUAAUUGUAUAUUAUGAAUUGUACUAAUUUUCUUUGCCCUUUCGGUAAUAAAAUUAGUACAUUUUGGUUGUAAUAUUUAAUUAGUUGUCCUUACCGCCGUGGAAUUUUUAAAAAUUCCAAGCUAUUGCUAAAUUGAGAAAUUAUGGAAAUUAGCAAAUGCAUGAUAUUGUAAUAACAUGCAUACUGUUGAAUUUUGCUAUUUUCCAGCUACCAGCAAUCCUGGUAUUUCUCUGCAAUUGUCUGCCAUCAAACCUCUUACUGGGAAUAAUUUUGAAGAAUGGUUUGAGUCCUUUAACGUGCAUAUGACUCUGCAAAAUCUGGACUUGGCUUUGAGGGUUGAUGAGCCAAGUAAGCUCACUGAUGUGAGCUCUGCAGAUGAAAGAUUAUUUUAUGAAAGAUGGGAGCACUCCAACAGGAGUUGUUUGAUGGUGAUGAAAUUCACUAUGGAUAAAUCUAUCAAAGAAUGCGGGCCAAAGACGGAAAGGGCCAAAGACUUCUUGGAAUAUGUGAAGGCCAAUUAUACCAAAGUUGAUAAGGCUGAAAUGGCAACUCAUUUGAAGCUUCUCACAACUACUGUAUAUGAUGGAGUUAGUGGGGUUAGGGAUCAUAUCAUCAAGCUAAGGCACUAAUUCAACAAGGCAAAUGAGAUGAAAGUGGAGUUGGGUGAAAAAUUUCUGAAAUGGUUGAUACUUGAGUCUCUUCCUGCUUCCUUUGAUGCAGUGAAGUUGACUUACAAUGCCUUGAAGGAAGAAUGGACUCUGGAGGAGUUAAUGUCCAUUGUAGUGCAACAUGAAGUCUCACUGAAGAAACAUGAGACUCACUCCCUUGCUCUUGUAACAAAUCAAGCCAGUAAUGUGAAGAAAAAACCUCCACACAAGAUUUUUGGAGGCUCUAAGCAGUUCAAGAGGAAAGGGAAUUCAAAUCAAGGAACCUCCAACGCAUCUGUUUCUUCUAAUGCUGCAAAGAGUGAGAAAUUCAAGGGGAAGUGCAACUUUUGCCAUAAGAUUGGCCACAAGCAAGUUGAUUGCUUCAAAUUUAAAAAUUGGCUAGAGAAGAAAAAGAAAGGUGAAAUUGUGGUUGUGGUUAAUUUGAAUGCAAACAUGAUUGAGACAAAUAUUGUUGAUGUUCAUGCCAAUUCUUGGUGGUUAGAUACUGGUGCCACUAUUCAUGUCACUAAUUCUUUGCAGGAGAUGACAAACAGAAGGAAGCCGUCAAAGCAUGAAGAAUGUGUGUAUAUGGGUGACGGAAGCAAAGUGAAAGUGGAAUUUUUUGGCAUGAUAAAGCUGAAGUUGAUCACAGAAAGUUUUUUGUUGUUACACAAUGUGGCUUUUAUACCCUCACUUAGGAGGAAUCUGAUUUCUGUAUCUUCUUUGGAUAGACAUGGUUAUUCUUUUCACUUUGGAGGUGGAAAAGUGGAUAUUUUUUGCAACUCAGUCUUAAUUGGCAAUGGUGUUUUGUUUGGAAAUCUAUAUAGUCUCAGUUUGCAUCAUGGUUUAUUAUGUGAUUCAUCCUCUGUUAAUUCUGUUGUUGGUUGCAAGCGUGCUAGAAUGAAUUUGAGUUCUUCCAUGUUGUGGCACAAACGCCUAGGUCAUAUUUCUAGGCAAAGAUUAGAGAGAUUGGUGAAAGAUGGUGUGCUUUCUAAUCUUGAUUUCUCAUACUUCGAAACUUGUGUUGUUUGCUUAAAGGGGAAGAUGACAGCAAAGACCAGAAAGGAGAAGAUUGAUAGGUGUGGAAGUACUUUAGACUUGAUCCACACAGAUAUAUGUGGUCCUUUGUCACCAACUGCUUUAGGGGGUUAUAAAUAUUUCAUCACUUUUAUUGAUGAUUUCUCUAGAUUUGGUUUUGUUGAACUAAUCCAUGAGAAAUCUGACUCCCUGAAUGUGUUCAAAGCCUUUAAGGCUAAGGUGGAGUUGCAGUUGGGAAAGCCCAUUAAAGCUGUGAAGUCUGAUAGAGGUGGCGAGUAUUAUGGGAGAUAUGAUGAGACUGGACGGAAUCCUGGACCAUUUGCUAAGUUUCUGUUGGAAUGUGGCAUUGAUGCGAGAUAUACAUUGCCAGGCACUCCUCAACAGAAUGGGGUUGCAGAAAGGAGGAAUCGCACAUUGUUAGAUAUGGUGAGGUGCAUGUUGUCCAAUUCCUCUUUACCAGAAUUUAUAUGGGGUGAAGCCUUAAGGACUGCGGCAUAUAUUUUGAAUCAAGUGCCCAGUAAGUCUGUGCCUAAGACACCUUAUGAGCUAUGGUCAGGAAAGAAACCCAGCCUUCACCAUUUCCAUGUUUGGGGAUGUAAGGCUGAGGUUAAGCCCUAUAACCCACAGUCAAAGAAACUUGAUCCUAAAACCAUUAGUGGUUUCUUUGUUGGCUAUUGCAUUGGAUCAAGGGGUUCCAGAUUCUAUUGUCCAUCUCAUACCACCAGGAUCAUUGAAUCAGACAGGGCUGUAUAUUUUGAGGAUGAAGUCAAUGUUGAUCCAAAUUUUGUGCCUCGUGAGAUACCUUUUGGAGAAGAGCAUGUUGUGAUUCCUUUUCCUACAUCUCAUGUUCCAAAUAUGGAUGUUCCUAUUGUCCAACAGCCAGCCACUAAUCAAGGAGAGCAUGGUGAUCAAGUGGAAUCCGACCUUCCUGUAGAUGAUACAGUUGUUAAUGAGGUUCCUUUGAGAAGAUCACAGAGGGUUCGUAGGCCGGCUAUUUCAGAUGAUUAUAUGGUUUAUUUGCAGGAGCAUGAGUAUGAUAGUUAUGAUGCUUUUGAUCCAGUCACUUACCAAGAAGCAAUUCAUUGUCCUCAAUUCAUAUCUUGGAAAGAAGCCAUGGAUGAUGAAAUGAAUUCUAUGUAUAUGAAUGGUGUUUGGGACUUGGUUGAAUUGCCUCAUGGUUGUAAACCAGUUGGGUGCAAGUGGGUCUUUAAGACCAAACGUGAUUCUAGCGGGAAAAUAGAGAGAUAUAAAGCUAGACUUGUGGUUAAAGGUUAUAGUCAAAGAGAAGGAAUUGAUUUCAAAGAAACCUUCUCACCUGUGUCGACCAAGGACUCUUUUAGAGUGAUUAUGGCCAUAGUAGCUCAUUUUGACUUGGAGCUACAUCAGAUGGAUGUCAAGACAGCUUUCUUGAAUGGUGUUUUGGAUGAGGAGGUGUAUAUGGAGCAACCUAUUGGUUUUGUAGAAGUUGGAAAGGAAGAUUUAGUUUGCAAGCUCAAUAAGUCCAUUUAUGGUCUUAAACAGGCUUCGAGGCAGUGGUAUCUGAAGUUUGAUAAGAUUAUCACCCAAAAUGGCUUUAAAGAAAAUACAGUUGAUAGAUGCAUAUAUUUGAGGGUCAGUGGGAGUAGUUACAUAUUUCUUGUUUUAUAUGUUGAUGAUAUACUACUCGCAUCAAAUGAUCCUGACUUGUUGAUUGAGACAAAGCACAUUUUGUCAACCCAUUUUGACAUGAAGGAUCUUGGUGAGGCUUCUUAUGUCUUGGGCAUAAAGAUUCUUCGUGAUAGGGCUAAUGGAGUGCUUAAAUUGUCUCAAAGAGCCUAUAUUGAAAGGAUAUUGAAGAGGUUCAAUAUGCACAACUGUAAAUCUACUAAAGCGCCAAUUGUGAAGGGUGAUAAAUUUUCAAAAGCUCAGUGUCCUCAAAAUGAUGAUGAGAGAGAGGAAAUGAAGACCAUUCCUUAUUCAUCUGUGGUGGGCAGCCUUAUGUAUGCUCAAGUAUGUACACGCCCUGAUAUUGCUUUUGUUGUGGGCAUGUUGGAAAGGUACUUGAGCAAUCCUGGGAGUCAACAUUGGAAAGCAGCUAAGAAGGUCCUUAGGUAUUUGCAAGGAACUAAGGACUUAAUGUUGACAUAUCAGCGCACCAGCUUACUUGAUGUAGUUGGGUUUUGUGAUGCUGAUUUUGCUGGCUGCAUAGAUGAUAAGAAAUCCACUACGGGCUAUAUUUUUAUGAUGGCAGGAGGAGCUGUAUCUUGGAAAAGUGUCAAGCAGACACUUACAACAUCCUCAACUAUGGAGGCAGAGUAUGUGGCAUGUUAUGAGGCUUGUUGUCAUGCUAUGUGGAUGCGGAAUUUUAUUUCAGCUUUAGGAGUUGUUGACUCCAUUUCUAGACCGCUGAAAUUAUUUUGUGAUAAUUCCGCAACUGUUGCUUUCUCCAAGAACACUAGGAGUAUUUCUCGCUCCAAACAUAUUGAUGUAAAGUUCUAUUUUGUUAAGGAGAAAGUGGCAGAGUCUCUUAUUGAUAUUGAACACAUGUCCACAAAAAGUAUGUUGGCGGAUCCAUUAACAAAAGGCUUACCCAUAAUUGCGUUUCAAGAACAUGUAUCUCAAAUGAGGUUGUUGGAAGCCUAGGUUGUAUUAAGUUAGUGGGAGCCAUUUUUUGGUAUUGUAAUACUAUGUUAUUGUUGAAAGGAUUGCUAUUAUUGUACAUUUCCCUAUGAAUCAAGCAAUGAAGCAUAUAUGAUUGCUUUUGAUUAUUUAUUUCUGAUGAGAUUCUAUGGGACAUUGAUUUAUGAUUAUGUAUAUGUUGUGAUGUUUGAUUAUGUAGUCCAAGUGGGAGAAUUGUUGGAAUUUUAUGUGUGGACUUACAUAAUUAAUUUGAUAAUAUCAUAAAUCAGUGUUAAUUUAUGUUUUUGCAUUGUGGUCCAUAAUGGGACUGGACACAAAUUGUUGCUUGAUUUUUUAUGGGCUCACCCUAAUUCACUUGACUGGCCCAUUAAGUCAAGUCGUCCAACUAAAGUGUGUAAUGUGCAAUAUAUAUAUAUAUAUAUGUAUUUAUUUGUAUAUAUAUAUAGAGGUGUGUGUGCUUUUGGAGGUGGACCACUCUCUCUUUUGUUCUCUUUGAAGAACACUCCCGGCCACACACGCACACACUCCAUUUUGGACUGAAUUUUGGGGAUUAAAGGGAAGAGCUCAUUGAUCGCUCAUCCUCGAAGCAUCACGCACCCGGAAAGCAGAUUAUUGGAUAUCAAAGGAGAGAAGAAAUGGCUUCCCAAAGCACAAACCAAGGUAACGGAAGAAUUUUGCUAUUAAAUGCAUGCUUAAUUGUCAAUAUGUGAUCCUAUGCAAUUUAAAUUAUCAUCAUUGAAGUCUUGUGAUAGAGUUAGAGAACCGUGAACGCAGCAUUGUCAUUUGAAAGAAACGAUUUACUGUAUCUGAUUGAUGUCUGGAGAGGAAGUUUUGGGCUGGAGAGAAGGAAGAGAGUAUUAUGUUUGGAGACUUUCUGGGCUAGUGAUUAUUUGAGAGUUGCAGACGGCUGGAGGAAAUGAUGAGCUGAGAGCGAAGGAAAACGAACUUGAGAAAGAAAUAGAGCACGCAAAAGCUAUCCUCGAACGACGCCGGCGGCGAAACGCCCCCGCCAUCACCGGAACGCCAAGCAACCAAUGAAGCCCCUUUUGAAGAUAUUUUUACCUGUUUUCUUUCAUGCUAUGCCUCCAUGGUUUCUUCUCUAUUGUGGUUACAUUCUCGUUUUUGGAUCCUGUUCUAUGCUUGGACCAGAUCCGAAAACUGGCUGACAAUUGUACUGAUCUCCAAGGUUUCCUUGUUUUCAAUGCUGUUAGUGGUGGUACUAGCUCUGGGCUUAGUUCACUGCUUUUGGAGCGUCUUUCUGUUGAUUUAUGGCAAGAAAUCAGUACCUUGGGUUCG
rnacentral:lncRNA from 1 species